rfam:Valsa mali var. pyri strain SXYL134 unplaced genomic scaffold scaffold00018, whole genome shotgun sequence.
GCCCGCUUGGCUCAGCGGUAGAGCGCCUCACUAGUAAUGAGGAAGUGGUUGGUUCGACUCCAGCAGUGGGCA